rnacentral:misc_RNA from 1 species
GGAUGAAGAACGCAGCAAAAUGCGAUAAGUAAUGUGAAUUGCAGAAUUCAGUGAAUCAUCGAAUCUUUGAACGCACAUUGCGCCCGCUGGUAUUCCGGCGGGCAUGCCUGUUCGAGCGUCAUUUCAACCCUCAAGCCCCCGGGUUUGGUGUUGGGGAUCGGCUCUGCCCUUCUGGGCGGUGCCGCCCCCGAAAUACAUUGGCGGUCUCGCUGCAGCCUCCAUUGCGUAGUAGCUAACACCUCGCAACUGGAACGCGGCGCGGCCAUGCCGUAAAACCCCAACUUCUGAAUGUUGACCUCGGAUCAGGUAGGAAUACCCGCUGAACUUAAGCAUAUCAAUAAGCGGAGGA